AAGGCCUUCGGGUUGUAAACCUCUUUCAGCAGGGAAGAAGUGCCUGGGUUUUCUUGGGCGUGACGGUACCUGCAGAAGAAGCACCGGCUAACUACGUGC
rnacentral:rRNA from 1 species